rnacentral:lncRNA from 1 species
GGUGGAGCCCACUGCAGCUCAGCAAAGCCACUGUAGCUAGACUGCCUCUCUAGAUUCCUCUUCUCUGGGAAGGGCAUCUCUGAAAGAAAGGCAGCAGCCCUAGUCAGGGGCUUAUAGAUAAAACUCCCAUCUCCCUGGGACAGAGCACCUGGGGGAAGGGGCAGCUGCAGGCACAGCUUCAGCAGACUUAAACGUUCCUCUCUGCCAGCUCUGAAGAGAGCAAUGGAUCUCCCAGCACAGCGCUCAAGCCCUGCUAAGGGACACACUGCCUUCUCAACAUCUAGAAACUUCUUACUUCCACAUGAGGAAUACAAUGUCAUUUGUUGGAUUUUCACAUGACAACAAAAGAAAAUAAUAAACAAGACCUUGCUUGCAUGGAAAAUUCAUUGCCUAUUGUAGGAAAAGGCAGGGAUGUCAUUACACAGAGCAAAGAAAAUAACAGAGGUUAAUCAAUGUUACUGCUAGCUUGCUCUUAUAUAUACUUAUUUUCAUUUCUGAUGCUUUUUUCCUCUCAAGGGUAAAAAAACAAACAUCAAAUCUCUAUAAAUCUCUCAUGCAGGGCACCCAGCUUUCUGCAGCUCUGUCCUUCUUUGGUUUGUAAUCCACACUUUUGAAGCCCGUCUAAGUGCAUUCAUAGACAAGGCCAUCUCUCCCCUUGGCCUUUGACUGUGGGGCAGGGUGUAAAAAGUGGGAGGUGGGUUAUAUGCUUCUAGUUGGGUAAAUGCUAAGCGUUUUUAUGUGGGUUGCAUUUUAUUUUCGCUUUCUAACAACAUAAUUGAACAUUCAGAAAGGGUGAGUAACUUUCCAAAAGUUUCACAGAUACUGAAAGAUAAGUCAGGGUUCAUACUUUGGUCUGUCUGAUCACAAGCCAGACUAAGAUUUGAACUUCUCUGAGACUGUUUCCUCAAAUUUAAAAUCAGAAUCAUGUUAUCUAAUUCACUGGCUGAACCAAGCUCAUUCCUCACCCAUUUUUUAUUGGUACUUCUUAAAGAAUGUGGUCCUCACUCUCUAGGUUCCAUGUUUUGAGCAUAAAAUUCCUAUCCCUGUACCCCAGGCAGAGAGGACUGGACCAGGCUUGGACCUCUGACCUACAAGAUCCAAGGCAUUAGGUUUUCCUGGUUCAUCACCUCCUUCAAUUGUAGAUGCUGCAGAUGCUGCCCUCUCUGUAGAGGUUUAAGUAAACAGGAAAGAAUGUUUAAUGAAAAUAAGGGGAACAAAGAAACCAUGUGGAGUAAAAGCAGAGAUGACACAUCAGGAGGCUACAAAUGAACAAUAAGUGAAACAUUAGUUCCUGGACCUCAAACCUUGAUGCCAGCAUUCAGGAGGCUUCCUAGGCAAGGAAGUAAAUUGGUGUGAGGUGACUGAACUGCAAGAUGAGGUGGAAUUUCAAAAUUCAGGCUGCCCUCUCUGCAGAGGUUUAAGUAAACAGGAAAGAAUGUUUAAUGAAAAUAAGGGGAACAAAGAAACUAUGUGGAGUAAAAGCAGAGAUGACACAUCAGGAGGCCACAAAUGAACAAUAAGUGAAACAUUAGUUCCUGGACCUCAAACCUUCAUGCCAGCAUUCAGGAGGCUUCCUAGGCAAGGCCUGUCAGCUGUCCUAUUUCUUCCACUAGAUUUCUUUCUUUUGUUUUGUUUAAGCUAGUUUCAAUGACAGGCAACUAUCUCUUGUAAUGAAAUGAUCCUAAGAUAAAGUGUUAUUGUAAAGUUCAAAUGUAAUUAGAUAAGGAAAUGUGCGUACAUGUGGUUAGCACAUAUCUAGAAAAUGAUGGUUAUUAAAGAGUAACUGGUUACAAUUAUCUCAAUCUUAUCACUAUUAAAAUUUCCCCAAGGUCAGCCUGCUUUUUUCAGGACAAGGAUUAUAAUAUUUCACGAGAUUCAAAUUAGUCGUAUAUUUUUAAUUUGAAAAGAAAACUACAAAAGAUGUUAUAAUUCAGUGUAAGCACAUUUUAUAGCAAAUUUAUUGUUUGAUUUCAUUUUCAUGUUAUAUUAAAAUUUUUUGUAUCAGUGCUUGUCCAACAUGGUACAAUGGAAACAAUCACAUUGGAAUAAUCAAAUUUUUGAAUUACUUAUAAUAUGCUCUUUCAUUUUACCAGAUUUUUUGAAAUAAAAAAUGAAUAUUGAAGAAUAUUCAUAGUAUCUAUAGCUAUUUUCUGUUCAAUUUCUGAAAGAAUGAGGAAUAGUAGCUUUCCAAAAGCUGGAUUUUGGUUUUUGUUUAAUUAUAAUAUCAUUCAAAGGACUAAUAAAGACUAAAAGGAACAAUGACUUUAUUGUAAAGAUACGUAUAGACUGACUCUUCAAAGUCACCAUGAGGAAGGCUGCACUGUGGCUAUUUAAAUGUAAAUAUAUUUAAAUUAAACAAAACUAAAAAUAUAGUUUUUUAGUUACAUGAGCCACAUUUCAAGUGCUCAAUAUGUUGCUACCAUAUUGGAUAAGUAUGGAAGAUUUCCUUCACCCCAGGAAGUUCUGUAAAGCACUAGCUUUCUCCACAUCUUUCUUUCUUUAUUAGGCAUUGUUUUCCAUAAAAUUUUCUACCUGCUAUGACCACUCAAAGCCCUACUUCCGUCUCACCCAUGGGCAAAAUAUCCACUACAGUGGCCAUUUACCUUUUUGUUAAAGUCACAGAAAGAAUGUAGUAACACUCUGUUAUUUUUUUUAAUCCAACAACCUCUUUUAAUUGUGAAACUGCUGCCUCUGACUACAAGCAUGAGCAAUUGACCAGGUCUAAUCUCAUCAACCAUGGCUCCUUAUAUUCCUUACUCUAGUUGUGAGUCCAAGGGUAGGCAUGGAAUCGUAUUAGGAUCAUAGACCCUCUACGAGAUUAUAAUAUUCCAAUAUUGGGGCAAGAUAGGUCUCUCUUGCUUUUACUUGGAACAAGUGAUCGAUGGAGAUGGCAGAGGCCAUCUUGGCACCAUAGGGAAAAGGCCUGCUUGAGAAUGAAGCUAAGCAAAUGCAAACAGUGCUGAGAGAUGUGGCAUUGUUCCUAAAUCUCAAUGUGUGAAAAAACCAAUUCCUUUAGCUUGAAUGUGGUUACAGCUGUUUGCAACCAAAAUAUUUCUGAGGCUGAGGAGGGAGGAUUGCUUGAGCCCAGGAGUUUGAGACCAGCCUGGGCAAUGUAGCAAGACCCUGUUUCCAUGAAAAAAAAAAUUACCUGGGCCUGGUUGUGUGUGCCUGUAGUCCCAGCUACUUGGGAGGCUGGGGUAGGAGGAUCUCUCAAGCCCAGGAAGUCAAGGCUGCAGUGAGCCAUGAUGACACUGCUGCACUCCAGCUUACGCAACAGAGUGAGACCAUUUAAGAAAAAGUCUGGUUAAUAUAUGGGUAUUCGUGCAUUUUAUGACAUUGUGUAUUAAAAGAUACAUAUUUACAAUACUACAUUAUUUAACUCUCUAAGUAGAUUUCUAUAUAGUAUAAUACUGCCAUUAUGUUUUGUCUUUGACAUUGCAUAUUGUCAAUUUUAUUCAGUUUAUUUAGUGCAUACUUUAUGUAAGGUACUCUCAUAUUCAAAAAUUCUUCUAAUAAAAUAAAUGGACAAAUCAAGAAUGUAUCAAAGAAUAU